UCCCUGGUGGCUUAGUCGGUAAAGAGUCUGCCUGCAAUGUAGGAGACCUAGGGUUCGAUCCCUGGGUUGGGAA
rnacentral:tRNA from 1 species